AAAUGUUCACAAACUGAGCUCAGCGCUCACCGUCUGCUCCUCCCUGCUUCACUUCAUCUCCUGUCUGACAUCUUCCCCCUCAACUCACGAUUUAUGAACCGUCACUUUCAAGAACAACCAUGGAAAGUGAUGAGGAGUCACUAACAUAUCUUCCUCAGUGCCCAGCUGGAUCAGUAAUGGUGAAGGGUGGAGGUGAGAGGUCCAGCAAUGAUAAGGUGGGGUGGACGGUGGGGGUGAAAACAUCCAAGCCCAGAAUGUCAGUCAAGCUUUCCUCUGUUUCUGAUGGCAACAAACCCUGCAUGUAAGUGACAAACAGUAAUAAAAGUUGCUCAGCACUAAAGAUCCAC